CUCAUUGGAAGCUGAAGUUGGUCAAUUGAGCUACACUAGCUGGCCAACAAGCUCCAUGGAUCCUCUUGUCUCUGCCUCCCCUGGACUGAGAUUAUAAUUGCAUGACAGCUACUAUGUCUGCCUUUUUCCGAGGUUGCUCAUUUCCGCACGCCUGCUCUGCCGGCGCUGUACUGACCACGCCACCUCCCCGGCUGCCAAUGUGCUCCUCCACCCUUGUCUGCUGACCUUCUCAGGUCUGGGGCUGAAGGCAGGGCUGAGACCUAGUAGCACAGGCCUGGUCUUUGCUUCUUUGCUGUGGUGUGAAUUCCGUUGUCUGCUUCCCUCACUGUGCAUUCUGGGUAGAUUAUCUUCCCCCUUUUGAACAGUUCCUAAUACCCGGUGUCUUCCAUGAAGCCUUAUCAGAAUCUCUGGACUGGCCAUCUUCCCUGCUUCUGGCCCCUUUCCUUCCUAUCCCAUGGCAGCCAGCCCUGUCACAGUGUAAAACAUCGAGAGCCCUGGACCAAGAGAUAAGAGACCUGGGGUCAGUGUCACUCACUUCCCAUUUGAGUUUCCUUUUGCUUUUUCAUCUUUUGCCAUAGAGGCUAAAUAGUAAAACUCUCAAAUUCCCAAAUUCCUGUUGGUGGUUAUGUGACGCAUGCCAGUCAGCUUGAAGUAGGCAGACAUCUCUGCACAGGAGUUCUUGUCUCUUGAAUGGAGAAGAUUUUAAUACCGUUGCCUUUUCUUUUUCUUUUUUUCAGUCUGAAACGUGAAUGCCAUACUUAUAGGUGCAGCAGCCAUUUUGGCACCAUGAGGAUGAAAACUACGUCCUGUGGAUGAUGGAUUCAGGUCUGCCUACAUGUGGCUUUGGAUGGCCAUGAGCCCUUCAGGACCUCCAACACAAUGCUGAUGACACCGGAGAUAUCCAGUUCCUUGUAGCUCUGUGGAUCAGAACUCAUCAAUGGGCCAUAAAAUCAGUUAAGCCGCUUCCCAUAGCCACCAAUGAAAACUUUCUGCCAGGACAAGGAGAGCAACAGCGAGGACAGCAGAGUACAUCCCGGGCAGUAGUGUCGCACGGAAUUUUCAUUUGGUGACGUGGAUAUGUGAUGCUGGAGAAUUUGAACAUUUGGAGAAAGUCCCAAUGGUUUCUCGAAGCCGUGAGUGAAGAGUUCCUAGCCCAGGCAGGCCUGAACUUGCUACCUAGCCGAGGAUGACUUUAAAGCCCCGAGUCUCCUGAGUGCUGAGAUGACAGGCUGCCUGGCUUUCUGCAGAGCUGGGAAUGGAAGCCAGGCAAACAUAAUUUUCUGCCUUUCCAGCAUCUUGCGGGGUCCAAGCUGCCAGCCAACCAGUUCCACGGAGCCCAGAGAAACACAACAGUAAUCAGACAACCCAGGACGUGGUCAAGCAUCUCAACCCCCUGACGCCCACAAAAUCAGCAACGACACCCACAAAGCCAACAUGAAGCAGUCAUGAGAGGCCUUAUGACACUCCAUUCCCACCCAUUAAAAAGACCUCAAACUCCCCAAUUUUUUAUAAUAAACAAAAGAGUGGAAUGUAAUGAUUUCAGCCACGUAAGGCGGAUACUGCCAGGUUCUGGAGCCAUGCACGUGCAGACGGGCCCUCGGGCGUGGAGGUGCCUAAAGGUUAAAGGGCCCUGCGUGACCCACGUGAGCACAAGCGUGGUUAUGUCCACGAUGACUCAGCUAAGCCCUUGCACGCGUGUGUGAGCCCUGUCAUCUGCAUAUGACGUAGUCAUGCCAAUCCCCUGUGUGCAUGCGCUAGGCAGCUUUUAAAAAGCUGGACACACCGUCUUCCUCUCUCUCUCUGCACACCGUUUUCCCUGGCCUGUAUGUAACC